CAUUUGUGUACCUACCUCUGUUGCUUUGGCGGGCCGCGGUCCUCCGCGGCCGCCCCCCUCCCCGGGGGGGUGGCCAGCGCCCGCCAGAGGACCAUCAAACUCCAGUCAGUAAACGAUGCAGUCUGAAAAACAUUUAAUAAACUAAAACUUUCAACAACGGAUCUCUUGGUUCUGGCAUCGAUGAAGAACGCAGCGAAAUGCGAUAAGUAAUGUGAAUUGCAGAAUUCAGUGAAUCAUCGAAUCUUUGAACGCACAUUGCGCCCUUUGGUAUUCCGAAGGGCAUGCCUGUUCGAGCGUCAUUACAACCCUCAAGCUCUGCUUGGUAUUGGGCACCGUCCUUUGCGGGCGCGCCUCAAAGACCUCGGCGGUGGCGUCUUGCCUCAAGCGUAGUAGAACAUACAUCUCGCUUCGGAGCGCAGGGCGUCGCCCGCCGGACGAACCUUCUGAACUUUUCUCAAGGUUGACCUCGGAUCAGGUAGGGAUACCCGCUGAACUUAAGCAUAUCAAUAAGCGGAGGA
rnacentral:rRNA from 1 species